rnacentral:rRNA from 1 species
CGGAACACGUACAGAACCUUCCUUUAAGCGGGGGAUAGCCCAUAGAAAUGUGGAUUAAUACCCCAUAGUAAUAUUGUCUGGCAUCAGAUGGUAUUUAAAGAUUUAUCACUUAAAGAUGGCUGUGCGGCUGAUUAGGUAGUUUGUGUGGGUAACGGCCCACCAAGCCAGCGAUCAGUAACUGGUGUGAGAGCACGACCAGUCACACGGGCACUGAGACACGGGCCCG